GCGGGCGUAGCUCAGCUGGUUAGAGCGCCUGCCUGUCACGCAGGAGGUCGCGGGUUCAAGUCCCGUCGCUCGCGCCA
rnacentral:tRNA from 1 species